GCCAGCAUGGCAUAGUGGUUUGGACGUUGGACUACGACUCUAGAGACCAGAGUUCAAUUCCCACUUGGCC